CUCCUAUCAAUUUAAAGACCUACAAGGUUUACUGCAUAACCUGUAAAUGAGCAAUUUAGGACUCCUGGCCAGGGAUGCUUUUCUACUUGUGAACUCCUAAGAGAUUGGGUUUCAUUCAGACGUCUGUGUCCACAAAGGAGCCUACACUAUCCAGAUUGUUGGAAUUUCAGCUAUAAGGCUUCAGAUGAGUCAUUUUUGGCUGUUAUCAUUGAGUUCUAUUUCUCCAUGGAAAAAAGAGAAGCAAGUCCCACAGCAAGCCCUUUCAGAGUCUGUCCCAUUCUCCUGGAGUUGCUCUACACGGGCAUCUGAACUUCUGUUUUUGAGGCAAGACUAUCAACAGAUCGUCUGGUCAAUUCUCUUCCUUUUGGGGUGGAUAAAAUGCCAUUAGCCCUGUAUUCUAGCUCACCUUGGGGAUUUAUCCCAUAAUAUAGUGCCAGUAAGUGCCAAAGGAGAUGCUGGUCCCUCUCAUCCAAGUAUUGUGCCCAUUCAUUGAGUAAACAUAUGUUAGAUGUCUGUCGUGAACCAAGCAUGGGGAUGCUACAGAUAACAGGAACAAGCGUGGGGAUCUUGAGGAUAACAAGAAGGACGUUUGAGUGGAGUGUACAGCAUCAGAUAAAGAGGAAAUACCAUGCGUGGGUUUAGAAUUACAUGGUCCUAGGUUAUAUUCCAGCUCAGUCAUCUAGUGUGAUUUUGGUCAAGUUACUUGCCCUUUAAAUCCAUGUUAUGGGUUACUGUGAGAAGUACAGAUGAGAUGGUGUGUGUGGAGGUGGAGCAACACACAUGCCCUCCAAAUGGUUCUUGCGACUAAGAAGAACAGUCUCCAUCAUCACAGGACUCAGUCUAAUGGGAAAGGCAAAAUGUGAACACAAACGACCAGUGGAUGAUGACAGGCCCUGUGAGAGCUCACUACCUUCCACCUGAUUGGAAGCAAAGCUGUGAGAGCAUGCCAUCCUAAGUACUUUCAUCUGCUAAAAUGGGCUUCGACGAUACAUAAUCUUGACUGCAUUUGCAGACUUCCACUCUCUAGACCUACCCCAAUAGGGUGUGCCCUAUAAUAUCAUGCUGAGAAAGUCCACCCAAUUGAAAAAGCUGACUGCAGUACACACCCUUACAAAUAGCCUAGUAACAUAAGCAAACACU